rnacentral:rRNA from 1 species
GACGAAGGGGGCUAGCGUUGUUCGGAAUUACUGGGCGUAAAGCGCGUGUAGGCGGUUAUCCAAGUCAGGUGUGAAAGCCUUGAGCUCAACUCAAGAAAUGCACUUGGUACUGGGUGACUAGAGGACCGGAGAGGAUAGUGGAAUUCCCAGUGUAGUGGUGAAAUACGUAGAGAUUGGGAAGAACACCAGUGGCGAAGGCGGCUAUCUGGACGGUUUCUGACGCUAAGACGCGAAAGCGUGGGGAGCAAACA